rnacentral:lncRNA from 1 species
GAUAUGGGAUGGGUAAGUGCCAGGUGUGUGUGUGUAUGCGUGCAUGCACAUGCACGUGUUUUAGUGAGUCGAAAUCUGAACAUCUGAUUUCAACUCCGCGGGCAGAGGAAUGCUUUUAUUACAAGCAUAUGGUUUUAUUUACUUUCUUAGGAGGUACUUGCUAGAAAACUCUUGACCCCUCCUUUAGAGCCCAUUUCAGAUGCUGCAUCUUUAAUGAGGCUGUGUCUAAGUCUCCCAGCAGAAACUGGCCUUCCACUCCACUGUAUUUCUCAGAUUCUUUACCUUCUGCUCUAAGCAGACGUCUUACAUAUUACUGUCACAGAUAUUUGUAACCUAUGAACCAUGCCCUCUCAAGAAAGAAAAGUACAACAAAGGAGGAAAAAAAAAAAAAAAGCAAAGGAGUUUUAUCACAAACAUGGUUUCCAAAGCAACUGCCUAGAAGUCUCUUUCAUAAGAUUCCAAGUUCCUCUCCACUCCCUCCUAAACACACACACACACACACACAUACAAACACACAUCUCAACUUCAAUGCAGUCAUUAGAACAAGUCAGGCAGUCAUGCAAUCUUAGAAGCGAAAGGGCCCUUAGAGAUAAUCUGCAUCCAAUCGUUGCUUCUUUCCAACACCCAGAACACCCGUCUAUACCUGAGAACACUCAGAUUCCAAGAGAAGAAUCUGUCCCAAGGGCCCAUUCCCAUCAAGCAGCAGAGCUGGACUUGGAUGCAGGCAGCUCCACAGCAGACUUCUGCUCUUCCUGUGGUUGCAAAGGCCACACCUUACUGGAGUCACUGCGUUUGGCCAGAGUGCAGUCCAAGAAAGCCCCAUAAACCCUUGCUUCUCAGAGCGUGGUCCUUGAUCCAGCAGCAUCAGCAUCAGCUGGGAACUCGUUUAAAAUGCUAAAUCUGGCUGAGCACAAGGGCUCACACCUGUAAUCCCAGCACUUUGGGAGGAUGAGGUGGGCGGAUCACCUGAAGUCAGGAGUUCCAGGUCAGACUGGCCAACACGGUGAAACCCCGUCUCCACUAAAAAUACAAAAAAUAAAAAAAAGUAGCCAGAUGUGGUGGUGCAUGCCUGUAAUCUCAGCUACUCGGGAGGCUGAGGCAGGAGAAUCACUUGAACCUGGGAGGCAGAGGUUACAGUGAGCUGAGAUAAUGCCACUGCAUUUCAGCUUGGGCGACAGAGUGAGACUCCACCACAAAAAAUAAAUAAAUAAAUAAAUAAAAAUAAAAUAAAAUGUCAAAUCUCACGUCCCUCCCCAAACUCUCUCAAUUAGAAUCAGCCUUUGUGAUACGGCUCCCAGGUGAUUCGUGUGCACAUUAAACUUUGAGCAGCAUUGAAAUACACUGUUCUUAAUUUGGUACAGAUAGCAACAGUUCUUCAGAGGUCUUCUAGCUUAAUGGUCCAAAGCUGCGAAUUCUCACAGUUCAGAGUGCUCAAGAGGUCCACCAUAAUUACCAACAAAUAAGCAUUACAAAGUGGUGUUUCGUCCUCUACACAGAAAUCUGUGAACUCCAUGGAAGAGGCCUUCAUGAUUUUUGUUCUCUGCUCAGAAAUCAACAUUGCUUUUGGUAUCUAGGAAAGAAGGAAGAGGUAUCUUUUUUUAAAAGAAAAAAAUAAAAUAUCAGAUGACUGUAGCUCUUUUGUUAACUUCUGCUUACUUUGCUUUGGCUUUGGUUUCAUGAAAUCAGAACCUCCUAUUUACAUAGGGUUUACAUAAGGUCCAUUGUCCUUUUGUGGCACAAAGAGGCAGCUUAGAUGAAAGAAAAGAGCACUGGGCCCAGAGUCAUCCAGAUAUGGGGUUCAAUACUACCCCAGCUUUUGAAUUGCUGUGUGACCUAAAGCAGAUCAGUGUGCUUCUCUGAACCUUUAUUUCCUCAACAGU